ensembl:lncRNA
AAAAAAACCUCUGCAUGCCAUUGAAAGCUUUCAAAGCAGCACCACUACUGCCGAUGCUCCAGAGGAAGCAGGAACUGCGGCUGCUGACGGCAACAAGUAAAGAAGAGUAUGAUGAAGGGGAAAUCAUGAUACUAUCAUCCAUCCAUCAUCAACCUCUUCCCUCAUGUCAACGAAACUCCCCCACCUGUUCCCUGCUGAGUGGAGAGUUAUUCGUGACGGGGUUAAUGCUGCUGGACCAAGGGAGAGAAUAGAGAAAGAAACAUCUGAGAAAAAGCGAAGUAUUGUAGCAUUGCAUGUGAACGCAACACAUGCUGACCACACGAAUGUCAAGUAAGCCUCACAUGGCAGAGAAGCCCAUCCCUUGCACCCUCCAUCAGAGUUUAAUGGACUACUUCAGACUGCAGGCCUCCCCAGAGAGGGAUUUGUGUAAGGUCAGGGUCAGGGUGUGUGCGUGCGUACGUACAUGAACAUGUUUGUGUAUAAGGGUGUCUGCGUACUGUCAGGAUGGGAAUGUCCAGGGAAAAAUAAAAUUGCCACUUUUGAAUUUCUUUAUAAUAGUAGAGAUUCAGGAAAUCUGUCCAGCUGAUGAUGUAUUUCCA